UGCAGAAUCCCGUGAACCAUCGAGUCUUUGAACGCAAGUUGCGCCCGAAGCCUUCUGGCCGAGGGCACGCCUGCCUGGGUGUCACACAUCGUCGCCCCCCAAAAUCCCGAUAUCUCGCAAGAGACAAUCGGGAAUAGGAUGGGCGGAAAAUGGUCUCCCGUGCGCUCCCGUUCGCGGUUGGCCCAAAAAUGAGUUCCUGGCAAAGCAAAGCCACGACCAGCGGUGGUUGUAAGACCCUCGGUACAAGUCGUGAGCCUUGCAUUGCGCGUAGGGACAUGUUGACCCUGAACGUGAUCGAGUAACAUCGGUACACUCACAAAGUGACCCCAGGUCAGGCGGGACUACCCGCUGAAUUUAAGCAUAUCAAUAAGCGGAGGAAAAGAAACUAACAAGGAUUCCCCUAGUAACGGCGAGCGAACCGGGAAAUGCCCA
rnacentral:rRNA from 1 species